GUAGUCCACGCCGUAAACGAUGAGUGCUAAGUGUUAGGGGGUUUCCGCCCCUUAGUGCUGCAGCUAACGCAUUAAGCACUCCGCCUGGGGAGUACGACCGCAAGGUUGAAACUUAAAGGAAUUGACGGGGACCCGCACAAGCGGUGGAGCAUGUGGUUUAAUUCGGAGCAACGCGAAGAACCUUACCAAAUCUUGACAUCCUCUGACCCCUCUAGAGAUAGAGUUUUCCCCUUCGGGGGACAGAGUGACAGGUGGUGCAUGGUUGUCGUCAGCUCGUGUCGUGAGAUGUUGGGUUAAGUCCCGCAACGAGCGCAACCCUUAAGCUUAGUUGCCAUCAUUAAGUUGGGCACUCUAAGUUGACUGCCGGUGACAAACCGGAGGAAGGUGGGGAUGACGUCAAAUCAUCAUGCCCCUUAUGAUUUGGGCUACACACGUGCUACAAUGGACAAUACAAAGGGUAGCGAAACCGCGAGGUCAAGCAAAUCCCAUAAAGUUGUUCUCAGUUCGGAUUGUAGUCUGCAACUCGACUAUAUGAAGCUGGAAUCGCUAGUAAUCGUAGAUCAGCAUGCUACGGUGAAUACGUUCCCGGGUCUUGUACACACCGCCCGUCACACCCUGGGAAUUGGUUUCGCCCGAAGCAUCGGACCAAUGAUCACCCAUGACUUCUGUGUACCACUAGU
rnacentral:rRNA from 1 species